UUCGAGAAGAUGGCGGCCUGAGCCGGAGUCCUCCUUCCCCUCCUCCCUCUCCGCUGCUGCAAUGCCCAGGCCCCCCCACUUUCCUCGUCUGUAAUGGUGCCAGAGGCUUUAAAUCUUGCAGAAGCCACAUCUGCUGCCUGCAGUCUCAGGUAUGUCUUUAUCAGCAGUUUGAAAACGGACUAAUACCAUGUGUCACCCCUCACUCCUGCCCUGUCUGGAUCUGGACAAGAGCCCACCACUCAGUUGGCAGUAGUCAGGCAGCUCUGCCCCUAAGAACCUGCAGCUUUUGGAGGAAAGGCACCCUAUGGUUUCAGAAGCCCAAGAGUCCCUGCAGCUUAGCACCUCCAGCCUGGUGCUUGGCAGAUGAUUGCCUUCAGGGCUGAAAGGCGGAUCUCUUAGGAGAGGGAGCAAAAAACUGUGUAUUCUUCAGAACAUCAUGAUGACCUGGCAUUCAUGGGUCUACGGAGAGAAUGCAGGGGGUCCGGGAGCUUGGAUGGGAUAAAUUUGCAUCUUUAUUUUCAGGAAACUUUUACUGAAGUUUUGCAUUUUCUUUAAUUACAAAUGGAAUCAGUACAACCCAAUAGUAUGCACAGUGACUUCUCCACUGCAUUAAAGUGGCUGCAGACAAUUAUUUACAUUUAUCAUAACUUAGAAAUUUGGGUGGUAAUUAAACCAGCAACUAUUCUUUGUUUAAUGCAUUAAGAAAGAAGUAUGUAUACUAUCAUAUCUCAACUGAAAAUAUUUUAAGAACUGGAUUUUAA